rnacentral:rRNA from 1 species
AGGCGAAGGGGUGACCUGGAGCGAAACCCAAAAAUACAGUCUCAGUUCGGAUUGAAGUCUGCAACUCGACUUCAUGAAGUCGGAAUCGCUAGUAAUCGCGGAUCAGAACGCCGCGGUGAAUACGUUCUCGGGGUUU